rnacentral:rRNA from 1 species
GACGAACCGUGCGAACGUUGUUCGGAUUCACUGGGCUUAAAGGGCGCGUAGGCGGGUUGUCAAGUCAGGGGUGAAAGCCUCCAGCUCAACUGGAGAAGUGCCUUUGAUACUGAUGAUCUUGAGGGAGGUAGGGGCAUGUGGAACUUCCGGUGGAGCGGUGAAAUGCGUAGAUAUCGGAAGGAACGCCGGUGGCGAAAGCGACGUGCUGGACCUCUUCUGACGCUGAGGCGCGAAAGCUAGGGGAGCAAACGGG